AGCCAAAACUAUCUUAAAAAAGAACAAAGUUGGAGGACUCAAAUUUCAUGAUUUGAAAUUGUGAUAAAAAAUACAGUAAUCAAGACCGUAUAGUAUUGGAAGAGGAUAUAAACAUUUGGACCAAUGGAAUAAAACUGAAGGUCCAGAAAAAAUCCAUACAUUUAUGGGCUAUUAGUUUUUAACAAGAGUGCCAAUACAACUCAAUGGGGAAAGAAGAAUCUUUUCAAUAAACGGUGCUGGGAGCGCUGGAGAUCCACAUGCGAAAGAACGAAGGUGGACCCUCACCUUACACCAUAUAUACAAAUUAACUCGAAAUGGGUCAGACCUAAAUGUAAGAGUAAAACUUACAAUUCUUAGAAAACAUGGGAGUUCUACAUCUCUGUGACACCUAAAGCACAGCGACUGAAGACAAAAUAGAAAACUGGACUUCAUGAAAAUG